rnacentral:rRNA from 1 species
AGGGCAGGAGAUGCGAGCGGAAUUCCCGGUGUAACGGUGAAAUGCGUAGAUAUCGGGAAGAACACCCGUGGCGAAGGCGGCUCGCUGGACUGUUCCUGACGCUGAGGCGCGAAAGCUAGGGGAGCAAACGGGAUUAGAUACCCCGUGUAGUCCUAGCGCGUAAACGAUGGGUACUAGGUGUAGGGGGUAUCGACUCCCCCUGUGCCGGAGUUCACGCAAUAAGUACCCCGCCUGGGGAGUACGGCCGCAAGGUUGAAACUCAAAGGAAUUGACGGGGGCCCGCACAAGCAGUGGAGCAUGUGGUUUAAUUCGAUGCAACGCGCAGAACCUUACCAGGGCUUGACAUCCCGCGAAGACCUGGGAAACCAGGGGGGCCCCGCAAGGGGACGCGGAGACAGGUGGUGCAUGGUUGUCGUCAGCUCGUGUCGUGAGAUGUUGGGUUAAGUCCCGCAACGAGCGCAACCCUCGUUCACUGUUGCCAGCGUAAAGUCGGGCACUCAGUGGAGACCGCCGGAGACGAUCCGGAGGAAGGUGGGGAUGACGUCAAAUCAUCAUGCCCCUUAUGUCCUGGGCUACACACGUGCUACAAUGGCCGGAACAACGAGAAGCGAAGUCGCGAGGCCAAGCGGAUCUCUCU